rnacentral:rRNA from 1 species
AACGAACGCUGGCGGCAUGCCUAACACAUGCAAGUCGAACGAGACCUUCGGGUCUAGUGGCGCACGGGUGCGUAACGCGUGGGAAUCUGCCCUUAGGUUCGGAAUAACUCCCCGAAGGGGGUGCUAAUACCGGAUAAUGUCUUCGGACCAAAGAUUUAUCGCCUUUGGAUGGGCCCGCGUUGGAUUAGCUAGUUGGUAGGGUAAAAGCCUACCAAGGCGACGAUCCAUAGCUGGUCUGAGAGGAUGAUCAGCCACACUGGGACUGAGACACGGCCCAGACUCCUACGGGAGGCAGCAGUGGGGAAUAUUGGACAAUGGGCGAAAGCCUGAUCCAGCAAUGCCGCGUGAGUGAUGAAGGCCUUAGGGUUGUAAAGCUCUUUUACCCGGGAUGAUAAUGACAGUACCGGGAGAAUAAGCUCCGGCUAACUCCGUG